GACGGAGGAUGCAAGUGUUAUCCGGAAUCACUGGGCGUAAAGGGUGCGUAGGCGGGUCUUUAAGUCAGGGGUGAAAUCCUGGAGCUCAACUCCAGAACUGCCUUUGAUACUGAGGAUCUUGAGUUCGGGAGAGGUGAGUGGAACUGCGAGUGUAGAGGUGAAAUUCGUAGAUAUUCGCAAGAACACCAGUGGCGAAGGCGGCUCACUGGCCCGAUACUGACGCUGAGGCACGAAAGCGUGGGGAGCAAACAGGG
rnacentral:rRNA from 1 species